GACGAACGCUGGCGGCGUGCUUAACACAUGCAAGUCGAACGGAAACGCCCUGCUUUUGUGGGGUGCUCGAGUGGCGAACGGGUGAGUAACACGUGAGUAACCUGCCCUUGACUUUGGGAUAACUUCAGGAAACUGGGGCUAAUACCGGAUAGGAGCUCCUGCUGCAUGGUGGGGGUUGGAAAGUUUCGGCGGUUGGGGAUGAACUCGCGGCUUAUCAGCUUGUUGGUGGGGUAGUGGCUUACCAAGGCUUUGACGGGUAGCCGGCCUGAGAGGGUGACCGGCAACAUUGGGACUGAGAUACGGCCCAGACUCCUACGGGAGGCAGCAGUGGGGAAUAAUGCACAAUGGGCGGAAGCCUGAUGCAGCAACGCCGCGUGCGGGAUGACGGCCUUCGGGUUGUAAACCGCUUUCGCCUGUGACGAAGCGUGAGUGACGGUAAUGGGUAAAGAAGCCCCGGCUAACUACGUG
rnacentral:rRNA from 1 species